UAUGGCCAUACCAGUCUGAAUAUACACGAUCUCAUCUGAUCUCAGAAGCUAACCAGGGUCUGGCCUGUUUAGUAUUUGGAUGGGAGAAAUUAACAAACGUGGCACUAAAAGAAAGCAGGCCAGAA
rnacentral:rRNA from 1 species